GCCAUUCAUUUGCUCCCGACGUCGUCUCCCUUCUCGCCUCUUCCUCGAGCUCUUCGCCUUCCCAAGCCGACGGCGCCGCCUCGCAUCGUUUCCUCUCCUUCCUUGCAAACAAAAUCAUCGGCCAAGGGAGAUCAGACAUUUCUGCUCGCUGCCUCUUCUCUUCCUCUCGCGUGGACGACUCGACGCCGAUGAUCACCGAGGUUCUCCUCACCAACACCGUCGAUCCGUGCCCUAAUGGUGAGAGGAUGCUCUUGAUUGGAUCAUCUCUCUCACUGUGGUCACGUUCUUGGUUAUCUGUGCCCUAGAUCCAUCGUCGAUGCAUAUUCCUCUUCGGGUUGCUGCCCCGUGUGAGCAGAUCUCCGGCUAAGAAGGGAGAUCCAAGCCCUAGCAUUGAUCUUCUCUUGUGAUCAAUCCAAUGCCAGCACUUGCGCACAGCCCCGAUCUUGCCGCACCGACCAGUUUCCUCUUCGCCUAUGCCCUUGAUUUCUAGACGUUGUUGUCUUGUUGCCGAUCACAGAUUGCUAGCAUCUCAGGUGCCUGCUCACCCAGUAUCGCUGACGCUCGAUCACUCAGAACCACCCAGUGUCGGCUGAUCGUCACCCUCUGCCCUAGUUAACCAUCACAGAAGCUUUUGGAUUCAUCCGAGGGGAAGUUUCGGAUCUGAAUUGGAAACUACUUAGGGGCUUCAACAACGGAUCUCCGGCAGCAGGUACCUCCAGCUAGCAAAUUCUGGCGGUUGCCCUACUUGGCUGUGGAUCAACAGGAGUAGUUUGGAAUUGAGGGUUUUGAUUUGAUGCGGACAGCUUGACGUGGGAUUUAUUCCGAUACGAACAACUGAUUAAGAUAAAGGAAAGAAAAAGUUAUAGCGAAGGAAGGCGACAAGGAGAUGUAGAUGGAUGUGUGAUGUUUGGACUAUGGAAGCCUUGAGACUUAGUUUAGAAAUUCAUUAAGAUUUUGUAUUCAAAAUGUUGGAACUAUUCUUUCAUGUUGCUGGAUUUGCUUAUUGAAUAUUUUGUGUUUUAGAACUCUUCCUUUUAAUUGUUGUGUCAUUAGUUCCAUUAUUUGAGUUGUAUUAUUAUUGCAUGCAAGUUCAGAUUUAUAUAUACAGUUUCUAGCAUGUUCAGAUUGAUGUAUAGUUUUAGUUGUGAACAUAUGCUUGAGUAGUGUGUUUAGAUGAGUCAUAUAUGUUUGCAGCUACUACUAAUUGUAUCUCUUGGGUUUUUGAAAAUUUUAAGUAAUGAUAUUUCAUGUGAGCAACUCUAGUUAAGUAAAGUUAGGAGGAGGGUGCGGUGUUACAUGAUUGCAUUUAUUACUUGUGUUUGUUGCACUUUAUUUGCUACAUAUUUGGUGGAUGCAUAUGAUUGACAUGCAUACAGGAGAUAUUAUAUUUUCGAUUUAACGACCUUAUUAUCCUGGUAGGAGGUCCUGGUGAGUACAAUUUUUUCC